UACGUAGGGGGCGAGCGUUUGUCCGGAAUUAUUGGGCGUAAAGAGCGUGUAGGCGGUUCGGUAAGUCUGCCGUGAAAUCCUGGGGCUCAACCCCGGGCGUGCGGUGGAUACUGCCGGGCUAGAGGGUGGUAGAGGCGAGUGGAAUUCCCGGUGUAGCGGUGAAAUGCGCAGAUAUCGGGAGGAACACCAGUAGCGAAGGCAGCUCGCUGGGACGUUACUGACACUGAGGCGCGAAAGCGUGGGGAGCGAACAGG
rnacentral:rRNA from 1 species